ACGAUGAAUCUUCUAGCUUGCUAGAAGUGGAUUAGUGGCGCACGGGUGAGUAAUGCAUAGGUUAUGUGCCCUUUAGUCUGGGAUAGCCACUGGAAACGGUGAUUAAUACUGGAUACUCCCUACGGGGGAAAGUUUUUCGCUAAAGGAUCAGCCUAUGUCCUAUCAGCUUGUUGGUGAGGUAAUGGCUCACCAAGGCUAUGACGGGUAUCCGGCCUGAGAGGGUGAUCGGACACACUGGAACUGAGACACGGUCCAGACUCCUACGGGAGGCAGCAGUAGGGAAUAUUGCUCAAUGGGGGAAACCCUGAAGCAGCAACGCCGCGUGGAGGAUGAAGGUUUUAGGAUUGUAAACUCCUUUUGUUAGAGAAGAUUAUGACGGUAUCUAACGAAUAAGCACCGGCUAACUCCGUGCCAGCAGCCGCGGUAAUACGGAGGGUGCAAGCGUUACUCGGAAUCACUGGGCGUAAAGAGUGCGUAGGCGGGGUAAUAAGUCAGAUGUGAAAUCCUGUAGCUUAACUACAGAACUGCAUUUGAAACUGUUACUCUGGAGUGUGGGAGAGGUAGGUGGAAUUCUUGGUGUAGGGGUAAAAUCCGUAGAGAUCAAGAGGAAUACUCAUUGCGAAGGCGACCUGCUGGAACAUUACUGACGCUGAUGCACGAAAGCGUGGGGAGCAAACAGGAUUAGAUACCCUGGUAGUCCACACCCUAAACGAUGGAUGCUAGUUGUUGCCUUGCUUGUCAGGGCAGUAAUGCAGCUAACGCAUUAAGCAUCCCGCCUGGGGAGUACGGUCGCAAGAUUAAAACUCAAAGGAAUAGACGGGGACCCGCACAAGCGGUGGAGCAUGUGGUUUAAUUCGAAGAUACGCGAAGAACCUUACCUAGGCUUGACAUUGAUA
rnacentral:rRNA from 1 species